CCAAAGGCUCUUUUCAGAGCCACUCACCUUACUGAAAGAAUGUUG
rfam:Rattus norvegicus chromosome 17, whole genome shotgun sequence.